GGUGGGUUCGUAUAACGGUUAGUACUCAAGAUUUUCAUUCUUGCAAUAGCAGUUCGAUUCUGCUACCCACUACCA
rnacentral:tRNA from 1 species